rnacentral:rRNA from 1 species
UACGAACUGUGCAACCGUUAUUCGGAAUCACUGGGCUUAAAGGGUGCGUAGGCGGCCAUUUAAGUAGGGUGUGAAAGCCCUCGGCUCAACCGAGGAAUUGCGCUCUAAACUGUCGUGCUCGAGGAACCUAGAGGUGAGCAGAACAGAUGGUGGAGCGGUGAAAUGCGUUGAUAUCAUCUGGAAUACCGGAGGCGAAGGCGGCUCACUGGGGGUUUUCUGACGCUGAGGAACGAAAGCCAGGGUAGCGAACGGG